AUUGAACGCUGGCGGAAUGCUUUACACAUGCAAGUCGAACGGUAGAGGGGGCAACCCCUCGAGAGUGGCGAACGGGUGAGUAAUAUAUCGGAACGUGCCCAGUCGUGGGGGAUAACGUAGCGAAAGUUACGCGAAUACCGCAUACGAUCUAAGUAUGAAAGCGGGGGAGCGCAAGACCUCGCGCGAUUGGAGCGGCCGAUAUCAGAUUAGGUAGUUGGUGGGGUAAAGGCUCACCAAGCCAACGAUCUGUAGCUGGUCUGAGAGGACGACCAGCCACACUGGAACUGAGACACGGUCCAGACUCCUACGGGAGGCAGCAGUGGGGAAUUUUGGACAAUGGACGCAAGUCUGAUCCAGCCAUUCCGCGUGCAGGAUGAAGGCCCUCGGGUUGUAAACUGCUUUUGUACGGAACGAAAAGGUCUCUCUUAAUACGGGGGGCUCAUGACGGUACCGUAAGAAUAAGCACCGGCUAACUACGUGCCAGCAGCCGCAGUAA
rnacentral:rRNA from 1 species